rnacentral:lncRNA from 1 species
GAAUCUUGACCAAACAAAUUUUCUCAGUUCUCUGCUUCCUGCUUUUGUAUUUUUCCUUUUACUAGUUUUCGUGCUUUUAGGUUUUAACUGUAAUAAUAAAUUAAUCAUAUGGUACCUGAAUAGACUUUGAAAAUUUCGCACUGCUAUGUGGAUUUGCAAUAGGAAUAUAUAUUCAAAGCAACCAUGAAAAAAAAAAAAUGUUUUAUGACCAGAGCCAAAGGAGCCAAAUUAAGAGUACAGCUGAGUGUCCUUUUUUGGUACCUAACCCCGUCGUAAAUUAUUGAAGGCUUAACGGAAUGACCGCGACAACCUUCGGAAGGUCAAGAUUUUGGCAGCAAGAGGAAGGAUCCUUCUGGCAAUUAUACAUGAAAUUUAUGGGAAUUUGAGGGUCAAAAUUCUGAAAGGCUACCUUUAUUUUCUAUGUUUGGAGUAGUUGGAUUUGGUGUUUUAUUUAUAAAUUAUAAUAAUGGUAUGAUACUGUUCCAAAAUUUUGACUGAAAUUAACAAUAUGAUUGGUCCUCCUAGGGUCAAAGUUUAAAACAAAAUACUAUUUGUGUAUAAGAAAGAAUGAUACCAUAAAGCUUCAUUUUUUAAAAAACACCUCAUCUUCUGAACGUACAAAAUAUCUCGUAAAAAACCUUACAUAUAAUUUCAUUUGAGGCAGUUGGAUGAGUGG